UCACACCUGCAGAUAAGUGCAUUUUCACUUUUUCAGAAUGCUAAAAUUUCAGAAUUUUCAGAUAGGUACUCCCCCGUCCUGGAAAAAAUAAUCAAAUCCUAGCCAUGAAUCCGAACAAAUAUAUGUUCAGAUAUAUAGUCAGGAUUUAAUAUUUUUUAAAAUGGAGGGUGUAUGAGGCUGAGCUAGAUGGAUUUGUCUGAAGAAAAGAGGAGAAUUAAUUCUGUACCAUCAAUGGCACGCAGAGUCUUCCUGAUCUUGUGCUCGCAGCCAUUGCAGUCCAUCCUCACAUGAAGCUCUGUUAUUCGCGGCGUCUGCAGGUACAGUUCGAGUCACAGUCACCGACCUCUGAUUCUGCAGCCAUCACUGAAGUUGAUCUGAAUGUGUAUGUUUUGUUGGAGAUAGCUUCCUGAAGCUCGAGGAUCCUAAUGGAGAGAGCUCCUAAUUAAGACCUUUGUUGCUAGGCAGCUUGGAGCCAUGGACCAUGCAAGUAGUUGCACUUAUAUAAGGGAUUGGAGAGAUGGAAUAUUUAGAGGGGAAUUUGUGUGGGUCACCCAAAGAAUCAUUGGAAAGUGAAAAGAGGGGCCCUGUGUGUUACUCCAUCCCGGCAUGACCUCCUCUGCUUUUCCUUAUGUUGUAGUCGUACCCGCAAGUGGGUUCUUCUAGGCAAGGCAAGGUUUUCUCAGUUCUGGUGUCUCAUUUGCCCCAAGGUUUCUCGGCCCUGUUCUUUAGUGGUUUUCAGAAUUAAAUAGGCCAUUUCUCUUUUGUUAUUAAGAUACAUAAUUUUAUCUUGGUUUCUAUUAAUAUGUUUUUAACUGCUAAAUGGUGUAUUUUGUGUGAAACUUUUUAUAUAGAAAUUGUUCUAAAAUAUCAAAUAAAUCUAUUUUCUCAAGUUUGAAAUCAUUAAAUCUCAAUUAACCAUGUAUUAAUGUAUUUCUCGUUUUGCGUGCUCAUACUUAAUCUUUAUUUGGAGCAAGUUCAAACAGGGCCAUAGUUCAUACUCUCACAUAGAUUCCAAUAGUAUAUAGUAACAAAAUCUAAAAAGCGAACUUAAAAACCAGAAGCUCUUUCAUAAUAAAUCUCUAGCUCCGACAAAUAGUUUCAGAUUCUCACACAGAUUUUAAUAAUAUGUACUUAUAAAAUCUAUAAAAUAAACGAGAAAUAGAAAAGUUAGAAAAGUCUAUUUUUUCUCAGAUUCUCAUCAGUCGUUUCUCAGAAUCUAAUAAAAUCUAGAACUGAUGUCAGCCGGGGAACAUUUCAGUUAUAUCGUUUUCUACAUAUGAACAUCAUCAACAGUACGUAGAUGCAAUUAUUGCCAUGGGAUAACCAGGAAUCCCUGCUUUCAAUCGAUUUCCAUGGGACUCGAUAUACUACUGGAUUAUGUUUCGUUUUGGUAUUUCCGAAUGCAUAUGGUGCUAUAUAUGUGGUCUUUGUCGGAAUGUUAAGUUUAGGCCAAAACAUUGUGCGAGUCAGUGAGAAUCAUCAAUAACUCACAGUAGGGAGAGUGGGCAUUGUAGCAGUUAUUUGGGCUUUUUGGAAGAACAGAAAUGCCGCAUGUGUUAACAUUUUUUUUCCCAAAAGAUCCUAUAUAAAGCUGAUGAGGAGGAAGAAAGCUUUUUGGUUGAACAAAUGGAAAUACCACUUUACGGUUUUUGUGGUAAAUUUAUUUA